rnacentral:rRNA from 1 species
GAUGAACGCUGGCGGCGUGCUUAACACAUGCAAGUCGAGCGAGAAGUUUUGAAAAGAUUCUUCGGAUGAAAUUUAAAAUGGAAAGCGGCGGACGGGUGAGUAACGCGUAGGCAACCUGCCCCAUACAAAGGGAUAGCAUUUGGAAACGAAUAUUAAUACCUUAUGAAACUUAACUAGUGCAUGCUAGGUAGGUCAAAGAUUUAUCGGUAUGGGAUGGGCCUGCGUCUGAUUAGCUAGUUGGUGAGGUAACGGCUCACCAAGGCGACGAUCAGUAGCCGACCUGAGAGGGGGAAAGGCCAAAUUGGAACUGAGACCCGGUCCAAACUCCUACGGGAGGCAGCAGUGGGGAAUAUUGCACAAUGGGGGAAACCCUGAUGCAGCAACGCCGCGUGAACGAUGAAGGCCUUUGGGUCGUAAAGUUCUGUUCUAGGUGAUGAAAACUGACAGUAACCUAGGAGAAAGCCCCGGCUAACUCCGUG